AGCCUAGCUACUCCACCACCGGCCGCCAUACGAAAAAAAGAAAACGUGGAAAAUCUCCGUGCGCGCCCAAGGAGAGAGAAUGGUGGUAGCAGCCCUGGCCCAGUGGCAGUGGCCCCCUCCCCUGGUUGCACACUUGCCCGCGACGCGAGGCACAGCUGCGGCUGCGGGCCAUAUAAACCAAAGCAAACCGGAGGCGGGGUUCUGCGCUCAACAUUCGCCUCGUGCUCUCGGCCUUUUGGAUUCGGGAUUCCUCCUCCUCCUUCUCCUCCUGAUCACCUCCCACUCCCACUCGGCCAGCCCCACCCACCGCCGGCCCCCCACGCAACGGGGAGCACAGGAGCAGAUCGAUCCAGCCUCGCGGCCGCGCCACGCGACCGACCGAGCUGCUUGCCUGCCUGCGUGCCUGCGUGGUGAUCACGUCGCGCCUGGCGGUGGUGUGGGUCCGGCGGGCAACAAAGGCGCCAGCAUGGCGAGCAACAACGGCGGCGCGAUGCAGGAGCCGCUGCUGCCGAAGGCGCCCAAGAGCGGGGGGUGGCUCUGGAAGGGGACGCGCCCGUCCGCGUCCGGCGACCUCCCGUCGUCCAAGGCCGUGCUGCGGCCGCCCCGCCACGUGCCCGCGCUGCUCUGCACGCUCAUCGUCGCGCUCGGCCCCGUCCAGUUCGGCUUCACCAGCGGGUACUCGUCCCCGACGCAGGACGCCGUCAUCCGGGACCUCAACCUCUCCAUCUCAGAGUUCUCGGCGUUCGGCUCGCUGUCCAACGUGGGCGCUAUGGUCGGGGCGAUCGCCAGCGGGCAGAUGGCCAAGUACGUUGGGCGCAGAGGGUCGCUGAUGAUUGCCGCGGUCCCGAACAUCAUGGGCUGGCUUGCAAUCUCUUUCGCAAAGGACACUACGUUUCUGUACGUGGGGAGAUUACUGGAAGGAUUUGGUGUUGGCGUCAUUUCCUAUGUGGUGCCAGUAUACAUUGCAGAGAUAUCUCCUCAUAACAUGAGAGGAGCCCUUGGCGCUGUGAACCCGUUGUCUGCAACCUUUGGUGUCCUGCUUUCCUAUGUGCUUGGCUUGUUUUUCCCUUGGAGGCUUCUUGCAUUAAUAGGAACCCUGCCCUGCUUACUGUUGGUGGCUGGUCUAUUCUUCAUUCCGGAAUCUCCAAGAUGGCUGGCGAGGAUGAAUAUGAUGGAUGAUUGCGAGACUUCUCUACAAGUUCUGAGGGGAUUUGAUGCUGACAUCACUGAAGAAGUGAAUGAUAUAAAGAUAGCUGUAGCAUCAGCAAACAAAAGUGGUACAAUAAGCUUUCGAGAGUUGAACCAAAAGAAAUACCGCACGCCUCUAAUUCUAGGAAUUGGCCUACUUGUGUUGCAACAGCUAAGUGGAAUAAAUUGUAUAAUCUUUUAUUCAGGUAGCAUCUUCAAAGCUGCAGGGCUCAACAACAGUAACCUGGACACGUGUCUCAUUGGAGCUAUCUCGGUUCUUGCCACUGGUGUCACAACCACGAUCUUGGACAGAGCUGGCCGGAGAAUCCUCCUCAUUAUUUCUUCUUCUGGGAUGACCCUAAGCCUUCUGGCAGUUGCUGUUGUAUUUUGCAUCAAGGGUCUGUCAUCCCAAUCCACUGAAUAUUCUACUCUCUUGUCAUCGGCUAUUCGUUUCAGGAUAACAUUGCACAAGACUCUGACUUGUACAACAUCUUAAGAAUAGUGUCCUUGGUUGGUGUCGUGGCUUAUGUCACUGCCUUCUCCUUCGGUAUGGGUUCCAUUCCAUGGAUCAUAAUGUCUGAGAUCCUUCCGGUUAGCAUCAAGUGUGUGGCAGGAAGCUUCGCGACCCUUGCCAACUGGUUGACGUCCUUUGGAAUAACAAUGACAGCAAAUUUGCUUCUGAACUGGAGCGCUGCAGGUACAUUUGCCUCCUACAUGAUGGUGAGUGCUUUCACUCUCGUCUUCGUCAUCCUUUGGGUACCAGAGACGAAGGGAAGAACCCUUGAAGAGAUACAGUGGUCCUUCCAGUGAGCUCCGGCAUUCAUAUGUACAUGCAAAUAGCGUGGCAAAUCCUCCAGGAUCCCAAUAAAAGAUAUAGUGAAAUAUAGCAGAAGCUAUUUCAUUUAGCAUUUUUUAUAGUUUAAAUGGAAUUUCGCUGCCGAUUCUGCAUGAGAACAUGUAAAUAAGGAGAUUUCACGAACAUGAACACUCAAAUACAUGUACAGGCCUGUAAAAGAAGAUGUCUCUAGAUCCAUUACUUUAAUAUUCGUGGAAUCAUAGCCAGAAGUAUAAGCUAGUGAGGGGAAUUGUAGAUCAACGGGAAGAUGGUGAUAUUCUGAUACAAUGAUUUUUA